rnacentral:rRNA from 1 species
CACGUAGUUAGCCGUGGCUUUCUGAUUAGGUACCGUCAAGAUGUGCAUAGUUACUUACACAUUUGUUCUUCCCUAAUAACAGAGUUUUACGAUCCGAAGACCUUCAUCACUCACGCGGCGUUGCUCCGUCAGGCUUUCGCCCAUUGCGGAAGAUUCCCUACUGCUGCCUCCCAUAGGAGUCUGGACCGUGUCUCAGUUCCAGUGUGGCCGAUCACCCUCUCAGGUCGGCUACGCAUCGUUGCCUUGGUAAGCCGUUACCUUACCAACUAGCUAAUGCGGCGCGGAUCCAUCUAUAAGUGACAGACAAAACCGUCUUUCACUAUUGAACCAUGCGUUCAAUAUAUUAUCCGGUAUUAGCUUCCGGUUCCGAAGUUACUCCCAGUCUUAGUAGGUAGGUUAUCCUAGUCGUUACUCCUACCCGUCCGCCGCUAACGGUCAAGAGGAGACAACGCUCCUCGUCUGUUCGCUCGUACUUGCUAUGUAGUUAGGCACCGCCGCCAGUCGUUC